GGUGCACACACGUCCGCGCUGGAAGAGACACUAGCUCUGGGCCGGCUGCUCGCUUCCCUCCAGCGGCACGAUUCCCCUUCAGCACAACCUGUCCCGCGCCGCCGGGGACGGCGAGCUUGGCCCUCUGUGGUUCGCGAUGACCCACACAGUUCUUUGGGGGUUCGGACGGCCCGCGCCACUUUGCAGUUGGAAAAAGGAAGGCUGAAAGAAGUUGAGGAAUUAGCUCUGGGUCGCGCGGCUGCAGCAGACCCGCGCUCUCGACCCCCAAACCAGGCGCUCUCUCUAAUACUUGGAAGGAAAGGGGGACUUGGAGGCGGCCUAGGGUGCACCUGCAGCCGCGCAGACGCGAGCCCCGCGGCCGUCAGAGGGCCCGAAGGACCCUGCCGCCUGGGCUGGGCCUCCGCAGCCGGCGCCUUUGCCCUCGCCGCGGGAGCCGGGACCCCGCCGCGGCCACCCCAGCUCGGCGGGGGGACUCCCGAGGCCCCGCAGCGCCCCGGGCUGGGCAACUUCCUCUUGCCCGCGGCGCUUCUCGAAAACCCGCGGCCGGAGGACGGGGCCUCGUCCAGGGCCGGCCGAGGCCCGCGGCGCCUUGGUGGGUCCUGGGGCGGUGCUGGGGCGGGUGCUGGGGCGGGUGCUGGGGCGGUGCUGCCCAAGCCGCGCGGCCAGGUGGGCGGCGGUCGGGCCGGGCGCUGCGGGUCGGGGCCUCGCAGGCGGCCUCCAAGCUCCCGCCGACGCCGACGCCGACACCGCCGGGCCCAGAAGCGGGCCUCGGCCGCCGCAGCGCCGACGGUUCCUGGGCGCCUUCGCCGAAAGCUCGGCUGGGCCUGGGCCUGGGCCUGGGCCUGGGCCUGGGCGCCGCUAGGACGCGGAGCCCCGGCGCGGGGAGGCGCCGCAGCCUGGACCGGCGAGGGCUUCUCCACACCUAAGGCGGGCUUCCUGGGCGACACGCGCCGAGCGGUGAGGCCCCACACUGGCAAGCGUUCGCUCUGUUUUCGAGCAUCUCCUCUCUGCGACGCCCAGACCCAGUCGCACACUUUCUCGUGGUUCCGAAACUUGCAAAAUUUCCUCGCGCGCCUGCCACAGGGCUCGGUGCCUUCCCUCUCGCCAUCCGGGCGCCGGCUGGACCAAGUUCUCCGCUGGGCUCCGUCCCUCCCUUUCUGUCUGGGCCUGAGCGAGCGGCUUCGACUCUCUGUGCUUUGGUUUCCGCAUCUGUGA
rnacentral:lncRNA from 1 species